UACGUAGGUGGCAAGCGUUGUCCGGAUUUACUGGGCGUAAAGAGCGUGCAGGCGGUCGUUCAAGUCGCGUGUGAAAGCCCCCGGCUCAACUGGGGAGGGUCACGCGAUACUGAUCGACUUGAAGGCAGGAGAGGGUAGUGGAAUUCCCGGUGUAGUGGUGAAAUGCGUAGAUAUCGGGAGGAACACCAGUGGCGAAGGCGACUGCCUGGCCUGUUCUUGACGCUGAGGCGCGAAAGCUAGGGGAGCAAACGGG
rnacentral:rRNA from 1 species